CGCGUAGGCGGCUUUAUAAGUCUGGAGUGAAAGUCCUCUUUUCAAGGGAGGAAUUGCUUUGGAAACUAUAGAGCUUGAGUGCAGGAGAGGUUAUCGGAAUUCCCGGUGUAGCGGUGAAAUGCGUAGAUAUCGGGAGGAACAUCGGUGGCGAAGGCGGCUUUCUGGACUGUAACUGACACUGAGGCUCGAAAGCCAGGGGAGCAACG
rnacentral:rRNA from 1 species